GUUUUAUUAACAGGUUUCAUUAACAAGUUCCAGCAUUUUGCAGCCAGAUUGGAAAUGAAAUAUUGAAUAUUAAACCUUGACCUCAAAGAUCAUUUAAUAUUCAUCUAUUUUUAAUUAGAAAACAUAGAAAACACUGUUCUUUUCCUUUUAUCCACACUUUAACACAUGUAUCACUUUUACUCCAUUCAAACAAAAUGCCUUACAAUGUGUAGUAUAACAUGUUUCAUUGAAGUCCAAAGAGAUUUUACUGCAUUUCUUUUCUCUGGACAAGAAAUUAUUUUAUGAAACGGAAGAGAUUGGGCUAUUCCAGCAUGAUCUAUUUCUGGGUUGCUUAUUACCUCAUUCUCUAUUUUGUCUUUGGCUGUUCUUUGUUCCUUCAGAAUGUGAUUUCAAUUUUACAUAGUUUUAUGGAAAAGUGAAUGAAUCUACAUUUGUCUAGUUCUCUUCUUCCUGCUCAUGAUGUUCUUGCUUGACAAAAAAAAAAAGAGCAGUGAAAUGUGAAUUUGUGUUGUUCCAGAACCUGCCAUGAAACAGCGCUGCGCUCCUUUUAUUUGGGUGCAGGGUGGAUAUCUGUGCAACUCUGGUCUCUCCACAGGCUGCAGGGGAGCAACUCCCACGUCUGCAGAACCUCUGUCCCUCCUUCCUCCCUGGCCUGGCUGUUGCCAAGGUCGUUUCUCACACUUUUGCCCUCACUCCUCACUGCUGAGCAGCAUUUUGCCCUUACUCCAACAUGCUUUGCCAGUGGCAGUGCUGCUGGGCCUAGCCGGGCCUUGCACUGGGGCCUGGUGACAGCUGGGACCAGCCAGGAUCUGACAGAGGCCUCAUGGCCACACUGCUACCACCAAAACCUGAACACGUACACCCAGUGCAGAACGGUUUGGAGGAAACUGUCAUUCAUGAGACACUUCUGUACCUGCAAACACGUUCUUCCUGGAGACUGUGUGUUCUCUCUGAAGAGAGAGCUGUAUGUUAUACAGUCCCCUAAGAGCCUCUGCGUCUAUUUUCCAGUCCAGCUGAUUGUGCUUGGCUCUCUACCAUGUCACAGCAGCAAAGGAAGGCUUGUAGACAACCUGAGAUCUACUUUGAGCAGUGAGACCUAA
rnacentral:lncRNA from 1 species